rnacentral:rRNA from 1 species
GACGAACGCUGGCGGCGUGCUUAACACAUGCAAGUCGAGCGGAAAGGCCACUUCGGUGGUACUCGAGCGGCGAACGGGUGAGUAACACGUGAGUAAUCUGCCCCUGGCUUUGGGAUAGCCACCGGAAACGGUGAUUAAUACCGAAUAUGACCACGUACUGCAUGGUGUGUGGUGGAAAGUUUUUCGGCCAGGGAUGUGCUCGCGGCCUAUCAGCUUGAUGGUGAGGUAAUGGCUCACCAUGGCUUCGACGGGUAGCCGGCCUGAGAGGGUGACCGGUCACACUGGGACUGAGACACGGCCCAGACUCCUACGGGUGGCUG